CAAUCAUAUGCUUGUCUCAAAGAUUAAGCCAUGCAUGUCUAAGUAUAAGUAUUAUACGGCGAAACUGCGAAUGGCUCAUUAUAUCAGUUAUAAUCUACUUGAUUGAAUCUGUUACUUGGAUAACUGUAGGAAUUCUAGAGCUAAUACAUGCAAAAAGUUCGGACCGGGGGCAACUCUGGGAAGAACGCGUUUACUAGACCAGAAACCAAGUUGGGGCAUUAACUUCGUCGGGGCAACUCGGCGAGGGUCCCAAUCAACGGAUGAUUCAUAGUAAGCUU
rnacentral:rRNA from 1 species